UUUGUAAAAAAAUGCAGACGCACCGGUCUGCUCAAGACCCCAGUGGAGGCCCACUCCCAACCUCCAGGCAAUGUGCGUAAAGCGCACAAAGCACCACACUAUAAGGAAGGAACGGCAUUAUAGAACGACGAUAGAUAAC